GGAUGCGAUCAUACCAACUCACAUGCACCGGAUCCCACCAGAACUCCGAAGUUAAGAGAGUUUGGGCGAGAGUAGUACUAGGAUGGGUGACCUCCUGGGAAGUCCUCGUGUUGCGUCUCCUC
rnacentral:rRNA from 1 species